UACGAAGGUUGCAAACGUUGCUCGGAAUCAUUGGGCGUAAAGCGCACGUAGGCGGCUUCGCAAGUCGGAUGUGAAAUCCCAUGGCUCAACCAUGGACGUGCAUUCGAAACUGCGAAGCUUGAGUAUGGAAGAGGGUCGCGGAAUUCCCGGUGUAGAGGUGAAAUUCGUAGAUAUCGGGAGGAACACCAGUGGCGAAGGCGGCGACCUGGGCCAAUACUGACGCUGAGGUGCGAAAGCGUGGGGAGCAAACAGG
rnacentral:rRNA from 1 species